UGUAGGAAUCUGGAAUCCAUUGCACUUCAAAGACAUCAGGUAUAUGAUAUGAUGGCUUUGGAGAUCAAUAUUUAUAAUUGGCCUAAUUUUGUAUCUUUUCCAAAAGAAGGAUUGUGUGCCUCUAAUCUUACAUGGUUUCGGGUCAUCAACUGUGGGGGUUUGAGGUCACUGCCUGACAAUAUGCAUGUACUGCUUCGAUCUCUUCAGUAUUUAUAUAUUGAACAAUGUCCGGAAGUCAUGUCAUUACCUGAAGGGGGCUUUCCUCCCAGUCUGAAUUUGAUUAGCAUCUGCCGUUGUGACAAACUAUUUGCCAAUCGGAUACAUUGGGGUUUGCAGAAACUCUCUUCAGUUAGAACUAUGAUAAUUGCUGACGAAUCUGAAGAUGUGGAGUCCUUUCCAGAGGCGGGGUUGCUGCCCGGCAGUCUGACCUCUCUCCGCAUCUGCGGUUUUCCCAAAAUGAAAUAUUUGGACAAGAAGGGGAUUCAACACCUCACCUCUCUUGAAGAAUUACAGAUUGAUGACUGCCCUAAGCUCAAGUGCAUGCCAGAAGGGGGCCUGCCUGCCUCCCUUUCAAUUCUGCAGAUAAAAAACUGUGCUUUGUUGAAGAAACAAUGGCAAAGGAAAAAAGGAAAAGAAUGGCUCAAGAUUGCUCAAGCCCCUAGCAAAUUGAUUGAUUUCGGAUGAGCUGAAAAGUCUAGCAAGAGUUCCCCCACUCUGUUAUAAUAUCAGCUUUUGGACUCAGGCAUCUUUUGGCUUUGGUGUCAACCUCCUCUGCUGCAGGUGUUCAGCUGGUCAUUUGGAGGUUUGUGGGUGCAACUUAAUUCCUGAUUGAAGACGGUUUGGUCAGUCAAUUUAAUAGGCAAAUUUGACUGAGGAUACACCUUUGUCAAGCUCUCGUAAUGACAUUCUAUUGGGGAUACUACCCUUGGCUCAGAACAAUUGCAACAAGAACUAGAUGAUUGAAGGGAGUGCUGACCCAGCAUUUGAUGAGGGGAUUACAGAAGCAUCAAAUGAACAUCACCAAAUACAAUACACUAAAGUUGAUGUUUUCUGCCUUAGAAACAGCACCGUGUAAGUGUUCCUAGCAGUCUGUAUGGAGGAAAUUAUCAACAUUCCUAUAGGUCUCCUUAUGGAGGAUGAUAUGGCAGUCCUGCCCCAUAUCAAUCCCCAAAGACAUCCCUUC